UAGUAACAAGGGCAAAUCCAUCGAAAGAUGGAGACGCAAAAUCACCGGUCUACGGGCUUAUGCCACGACAGCGGGAUUGCCGGC
rnacentral:ncRNA from 1 species